rnacentral:rRNA from 1 species
UACGUAGGGUGCAAGCGUUGUUCGGAAUUACUGGGCGUAAAGGGCGCGUAGGCGGUUCGAUAAGUCCCGUGUGAAAUCCCUCGGCUCAACUGAGGAAUGGCACGGGAAACUGACGGGCUUGAGUUCGGGAGAGGGAAGCGGAAUUCCGGGUGUAGCGGUGAAAUGCGUAGAUAUCCGGAGGAACACCGGUGGCGAAGGCGGCUUCCUGGACCGACACUGACGCUGAGGCGCGAAAGCUAGGGGAGCAAACGGG